rnacentral:rRNA from 1 species
AACGAACGCUGGCGGCAUGCCUAACACAUGCAAGUCGAACGAGACCUUCGGGUCUAGUGGCGCACGGGUGCGUAACGCGUGGGAACCUGCCUUUAGGUUCGGAAUAACUCAGAGAAAUUUGAGCUAAUACCGGAUGAUGUCUUCGGACCAAAGAUUUAUCGCCUUUAGAUGGGCCCGCGUUGGAUUAGCUAGUUGGUGGGGUAAAGGCCUACCAAGGCGACGAUCCAUAGCUGGUCUGAGAGGAUGAUCAGCCACACUGGGACUGAGACACGGCCCAGACUCAGGCGGGAGGAAGGAGUGGGGGAGAUGGGACAAAGGGCGAAGGGUGGAACAAGUAGUGCAGCGGAAGUGAUAAAGGCAGUAGGGGUGGAAGGCGCUGUGGCCCGAGCGGUGAAGGACAGUAUGGGGAGAAUAAGCACAGGACAACUCCGUG